rnacentral:tRNA from 1 species
GGGCCCGUAGCUCAGUUGGUUAGAGCAGACGGCUCAUAACCGUCCGGCCGGGGGUUCGAGUCCCUCCGGGCCCAUAA